UACGUAGGGUGCAAGCGUUAAUCGGAAUUACUGGGCGUAAAGCGUGCGCAGGCGGUUUUGUAAGUCUGUCGUGAAAGCCCCGGGCUCAACCUGGGAAUUGCGAUGGAGACUGCAAGGCUUGAAUCUGGCAGAGGGGGGUAGAAUUCCACGUGUAGCAGUGAAAUGCGUAGAGAUGUGGAGGAACACCGAUGGCGAAGGCAGCCCCCUGGGUCAAUAUUGACGCUCAUGCACGAAAGCGUGGGGAGCAAACAGG
rnacentral:rRNA from 1 species